rnacentral:rRNA from 1 species
GAUGAACGCUGGCGGCGUGCCUAACACAUGCAAGUCGAACGGCAACACCCGCAUAGGUUGCGAUUACUGGUGACGGGGGGAGUACGAGUGAGGCAUACAUCGCCAACCUCUUGUACGUGGCGAAGAACGUGGGGCAACUUCCGCUAAUACCGCAUACCACCUACGGCUGGAGGCAGGGGAUCUUAUCGCCUUGGGCGAGUCAAUGAGCCGAUGCCGGUUUAGCUAGUGGGGUGGGUUACGGCCCAGCCAGCCGACGAUCCGUAGCUGAUCUGAGAGGCUGAUCGGCCACAUGGGAACUGAGACACGGUCCAGACUCCUACGGGAGGCAGCAGUGGGGAAUAUUGGGCAAUGGGCGCAAGCCUGAUGCAGCCAGACCGCGUGUGUGAAGAAGGCCUUCGGGUUGUAAAGCCCUUUUGUUGGGAAAGAAAAUCAGUAGGCUAAUACGCCGCUGUAGUGACGGUACCCAAAGAAUAAGCACCGGCUAACUACGUG